rnacentral:rRNA from 1 species
GACGAACGCUGGCGGCGUGCUUAACACAUGCAAGUCGAACGGAAAGGCCUGCUUUCCCUUGUGGAUUGCGGGUGCUCGAGUGGCGAACGGGUGAGUAACACGUGAGUGAUCUGCCCCCAACUUGGGUAUAAGCCUGGGAAACUGGGUCUAAUUCCCGAUAGGACUGCAGGGUGGUGCCUGUGGUGGAAAACGAUUUUCUAGUGGUUGGGGAUGAGCUCGCGGCCUAUCAGCUUGUUGGUGGGGUAAUGGCCUACCAAGGCGGCGACGGGUAGCCGGCCUGAGAGGGUGGACGGCCACAUUGGGACUGAGAUACGGCCCAGACUCCUACGGGAGGCAGCAGUGGGGAAUAUUGCACAAUAGGCGGAAGCCUGAUGCAGCGACGCCGCGUGGGGGAUGACGGCCUUCGGGUUGUAAACUCCUUUCGACCGCGAGGAAGCCACCUGGUUGGAAGGGUGGUGACGGUAGUGGUAGAAGAAGCACCGGCUAACUACGUG